AACGAACGCUGGCGGCAGGCUUAACACAUGCAAGUCGAACGGGUGUAGCAAUACAUCAGUGGCAGACGGGUGAGUAACACGUGGGAACCUUCCUAGGGGUACGGAACAACUUAGGGAAACUUGAGCUAAUACCGUAUACGUCCGUGAGGAGAAAGAUUUAUCGCCCUUAGACGGGCCAGCGUCGGAUUAGCUAGUUGGUGGGGUAACGGCCUACCAAGGCGACGAUCCGUAGCUGAUCUUAGAGGAUGAUCAGCGACACUGGGACUGAGACACGGCCCAGACUCCUACGGGAGGCAGCAGUGGGGAAUCUUGGACAAUGGGCGCAAGCCUGAUCCAGCCAUGCCGCGUGAGUGAAGAAGGUCUUCGGAUUGUAAAGCUCUUUUGCCAGGGACGAUAAUGACGGUACCUGGAGAAUAAGCCCCGGCAAACUUCGUGCCAGCCGCCGCGGUAACAC
rnacentral:rRNA from 1 species